rnacentral:rRNA from 1 species
AUUGAACGCUGGCGGCAGGCCUAACACAUGCAAGUCGAGCGGAUGAGAAGAGCUUGCUCUUCGAGUUAGCGGCGGACGGGUGAGUAAUGCCUAGGAAUCUGCCUGGUAGUGGGGGACAACGUUUCGAAAGGAACGCUAAUACCGCAUACGUCCUACGGGAGAAAGCAGGGGACCUUCGGGCCUUGCGCUAUCAGAUGAGCCUAGGUCGGAUUAGCUAGUUGGUGAGGUAAUGGCUCACCAAGGCGACGAUCCGUAACUGGUCUGAGAGGAUGAUCAGUCACACUGGAACUGAGACACGGUCCAGACUCCUACGGGAGGCAGCAGUGGGGAAUAUUGGACAAUGGGCGAAAGCCUGAUUCAGCCAUGCCGCGUGUGUGAAGAAGGUCUUCGGAUUGUAAAGCACUUUAAGUUGGGAGGAAGGGCAGUAAGCGAAUACCUUGCUGUUUUGACGUUACCAACAGAAUAAGCACCGGCUAACCCUGUGCCAGCAGCCGCGGUAACAC